rnacentral:lncRNA from 1 species
UUAUUUUACUAGAGCAAACUAGAAGUUCUGUGGUUUAUGAUGGAACUUGGUUCAAGAACUGUUGUCUAGAGAAAAGGAAACAAAACAUCAUCCAAAGAUUCCAGUUGUGUCCCCUUGAGAAGUUUAUUUUGAUUUGAAAUGGAAAGAUCGAAGUGGACAAAUUUUAGAUUUCAUCUAAAGAUUCAACAUGGUUCCUAAGGAACAACUAUGAAGUUUAGGUCCCACUUCAAACAGGAAGAGAAACACCAUGUAUCUGAGAACCCAGAAGAGGAAAAGAGGCUUUAUGAAGAAAAAACAGAGCACAGCUAUAAAGAGUCAGAUGGCUAACAUCUGGACUGUUUGAAAUUCAGCUGGACAUGCGGCUGUGUGAAUUACAAAGAAUGUUUCCUAAAAUGC